ensembl:lncRNA
AAGUUUUCCAGAUUCAAAGGUAUUUUCUAGAUUGCUCUUAGAUAUCUAACAGGCUCUAAAGAAUGUUUUGCAGUUCACUGAAAAAUAUGAAAAAAGAGCAUAUCCUUCUGGCGCGUGCUUCAGUGGCACACACAGGUGAAUCCCCACGCUGCCUAAGCCUUUGAGAGGGAGGCAGCCUCUAAGGCAGAGCAGCCUGAAGAGUGAGGGGAACGUUCGUGCGCCAAGCCUAGUGACUCCUUUGGACAUCCUAUAUAGCUCCAGAUGGAUUCCCCGGAGUCAUAACUUCUGUCUACACAGUCACUAUCACUGGAAAGAGAUGUCCAAGAAUGUUAGCCACCUAGAGGGGAUCCAAAUUUAUUGAGAAGGGUUUAGAAAUUAAAUAUCACCAGCCUGGAUGAUACUUAACAGAGAGGGUGAAUCUAAGAGGUCCUGGGCCUUCCUGAACUCAGGAAGUCGGCUAAGCUCGGAGAGAAUCCACCUCGACCAUCAGUCUGAUAAUGUCUACGCUGAUCUCCAAUGGCUUCUCCUUAGUCCUUAGCAAGAAACGUUUAGAGUCAUGUUCCUACAGUUCCAUUUACAAAAGGUGCGUCUGGGGAAAAGAGCAUUCAGGCAGAGGAACAGCAAAAAGAAAUUUUCAAGGUGUGACUCUACAGUUGAACACAAUGCUUGGCACGAUAAUAAUUCGUUGAAUGAAUGGACGGACCUAAGUCACGCUUCACUUAGAAGUCGCUCCUGCUUACUUGAGACCAUGAUGAUUUUUUCCCUUUUUAGGAUUUAUAUUG